rnacentral:rRNA from 1 species
AACGAACGCUGGCGGCAGGCCUAACACAUGCAAGUCGAGCGGUAAGGCCCUUUCGGGGGUACACGAGCGGCGGACGGGUGAGUAACACGUGGGUGACCUGCCCUCAGCUCUGGGAUAAGCCUGGGAAACCGGGUCUAAUACCGGAUAUGACUCCAUGACGCAUGUUGUGGGGUGGAAAGCCUUGUGCGGCUGAGGAUGGGCCCGCGGCCUAUCAGCUUGUUGGUGGGGUGAUGGCCUACCAAGGCGACGACGGGUAGCCGGCCUGAGAGGGCGACCGGCCACACUGGGACUGAGACACGGCCCAGACUCCUACGGGAGGCAGCAGUGGGGAAUCUUGCGCAAUGGGCGAAAGCCUGACGCAGCGACGCCGCGUGAGGGAUGACGGCCUGGU